rnacentral:rRNA from 1 species
UACGUAGGGUGCAAGCGUUGUCCGGAAUUAUUGGGCGUAAAGACCUCGUAGGCGGCUUGUCGCGUCUGCUGUGAAAUCCCGGGGCUCAACCCCGGGCCUGCAGUGGGUACGGGCAAGCUAGAGUGCGGUAGGGGAGAUUGGAAUUCCUGGUGUAGCGGUGGAAUGCGCAGAUAUCAGGAGGAACACCGAUGGCGAAGGCAGAUCUCUGGGCCGUAACUGACGCUGAGGAGCGAAAGCAUGGGGAGCGAACAGG